AGAAUCAACGCUGGCGGCGUGCCUAACACAUGCAAGUCGAACGCGAAAGUCCCGCAAGGGAUUAGUAGAGUGGCAAACGGGUGAGUAACGCGUGGGUGACCUGCCUUCGAGCGGGGGAUAACGUUUCGAAAGGAACGCUAAUACCGCAUGAUGUCCUGCCUUUGAAGAGGUGGAGACCAAAGCCGGGGAUCGCAAGACCUGGCACUUGAAGAGGGGCCCGCGUCCGAUUAGCUAGUUGGUGGGGUAAUGGCUCACCAAGGCUCCGAUCGGUA
rnacentral:rRNA from 1 species